rnacentral:tRNA from 1 species
GGAGGGGUGCCUCGAGCGGCUUAUGGGCCAGGUUUCGAAAACCUUGGGGGGCGUAACAGCUCCACGUGGGUUCGAAUCCCACCCCCUCCG